AGAGAGCAGAUUCGCACAAACCCGGAAGCGGGUCGCGUGGAGUGACGGUCCCACCGCGGGGAUAUCUCUUCCAAAUGCAUGAUGAAGGAGUUCUCAUCCACAGCGCAAGGCAAUACAGAAGUGAUCCACACAGGGACAUUGCAAAGACAUGAAAGUCAUCACAUUAGAGAUUUUUGCUUCCAGGAAAUUGAGAAAGAUAUUCAUAACUUUGAGUUUCAGUGGCAAGAAGAGGAAAGGAAUGGUCACGAAGCACCCAUGACAGAAAUCAAAGAGUUGACUGGUAGUACAGACCGACAUGAUCAAAGGCAUGCUGGAAACAAGCCUAUUAAAGAUCAGCUUGGAUCCAGCUUUCAUUCGCAUCUGCCUGAACUCCACAUAUUUCAGCCUGAAUGGAAAAUUGGUAAUCAAGUUGAGAAGUCUAUCAUCAAUGCCUCCUUAAUUUUGACAUCCCAAAGAAUUUCUUGUAGUCCCAAAACCCGUAUUUCUAAUAACUAUGGGAAUAAUUCCCUCCAUUCUUCAUUACCCAUACAAAAAUUGGGAAGUACACAUGAGAGAAAAAUCUUUCCAAUGUAAUGAGAGUGGCAAAUCCUUUAAUUAUAGCUAACUCUUAAGGAAAUAUCAGAUAAUCCAUUUAGGAUAGAAACAAUAUAAAUGUGAGGUAUGUGACAAGGUCUUUAAUCAGAAUUGAUUCCUUGUAUGCCAUAAUAGAUGUCACACUGGUAAGAAACCUUACAGUUGUUAUGAGUGUGGCAAGACCUUCAGUCAGACGUCAUCCUUUACAUGCUAUCGUAGACUUCAUACUGGAGGGAAACCUUACAAGUGUAGUGAGCAUAACAAGACCUUUGGUUGAAAUUCAGCCCUUGUAAUUCAUAAGGCAAUUCAUACUGGAGAGAAUCCUUGCAAGUGUAAUGAAUGUGGCAAGGUUUUUAAUCAGAAAGCACACCUUGCACGUCAUCAUAGACUUCAUACUAGAGAGAAGCCUUACAAAUGUGAAGAAUGUGAAAAAGUUUUCAGUCGCAAAUCACAUCUUGAAAGACAAAACUUAAAAGAGGUGGCGUUGCCCUUGUUUUUGAGAAUGCCCUACUGUGUAAGUGGUAGUGUUCUUUCUUUUUUUUUUUUUUUUAAGACGGAGUCUCACCUGAGCGAGCCUCUGCACUGGCCUUAUUUAUUAUUGUUAUUAAUUUUUUGUUUUUGAGACGGAGUUUCACUCUUAUUGCCCAGGCUGGAGUGCAAUGGUGCAAUCUUGGCUCACUGCACCCUCUGUCUGUUGGGCUCAAGCGUUUCUCUUGCCUCAGCCUCCCAAGUAGCUGGGACUACAGGUGCAUGCCACCACGCCUGGUUAAUUUUUGUAUUUAUAGUGGAGAUGGGGUUUCUCCAUAUUGGUCAGGCUGGUCUUGAACCCUUGACCUCAGGUCAUCCACCCGCCUCGGCCUUCCAAAACGCUGGAUUUACAGGCUUGAGCCACGCGUCCGGCCUGAAGUGGUAUUUUUUAGAAAGUAACUAAACCUUUUUUCAGUUUAAUGACCCAGGGAUGUAUUUCUGAAGGACUUGGGAGCGAUCCUUUUAAGGCAAACAAGGGAGAUAGUACCUGUAUCUUAGUAGGAAAUUAAAUAAUUCAAACAUCAAAUGUUUCAAAUUAAAAGCUACCGACCUUUAAAUAAUUCUGAGCCUUGAGAGGAACGUGGUCAUGCAACAAGAGUCCAGUGGCAUGCAGGCACAAGGUUUUUUCUUUUUUGUUUUUUGUUUUUUUUUGAGACAGUCUCGCUCUGUCGCCCAAGCUGAAGUGCAGUGGUGCGAUCUCAGCUCACUGCAAGCUCCGCCUCCUGGGUUCACGUCAUUUUCCUGUCUCAGCCUCCCCAGUAGCUGGGACUCCAGGCACCCACCACCACUCCCGGCUAAUUUUUUGUAUUUUUAGUACAGACAGGGUUUCACUGUGUUAGCCAGGAUGGUCUUGAUCUCCUGACCUUGUGAUCCACCCACCUCAGCCUCCCAAAGUGCUGGGAUUACAGGCAUGAAUGACCGCGCCCAGCCGCAGGCGCAACUUUUUUGAGUUUUCCUGGCCAGGCGCAGUGGCUCAAGCCUGUAAUCCCAGCAUUUUGGGAGGCCGAGGUGGGCGGAUCACUUGAGGUCAGGAGUUAGAAACCAGCCUGGCCAACGUGGUGAAACCCCGUCUCCAGUAAACAUACAAAGCCAUUACAGGGCAUGGUGGGGCACGCCUGUAUUCCCAGCUACUUGGGAGGCUGAGGCAGGAGAACUGCUUGAUCCGGGGAGGUGGAAGUUGCAGUGGGCCAAGAUCAUGCCACUGCACCCCAGCCUGGGCAACAGAGCAAGACUCCGUACC
ensembl:lncRNA ZNF321P zinc finger protein 321, pseudogene